rnacentral:rRNA from 1 species
CGAGUCAUUGUAGCAAUACAAGGCAGACGGCUCAGUAACGCGUAGUCAAUCUACCCUAUGGACGGGAAUAACCUCGGGAAACUGAGAAUAAUGCCCGAUAGAACAUUAUGCCUGGAACGGUUUAUGUUUCAAAUGAUUUAUCGCCAUAGGAUGGGACUGCGGCCUAUCAGUUUGUUGGUGAGGUAAUGGCCCACCAAGACUAUUACAGGUACGGGCUCUGAGAGGAGUAGCCCGGAGAUGGGUACUGAGACACGGACCCAGGCCCUAUGGGGCGCAGCAGGCGAGAAAACUUUGCAAUGUGCGAAAGCACGACAAGGUUAAUCCGAGUGGUUUCUGCUAAAGAAACCUUUUGUCAGUCCUAGAAACACUGAUGAAUAAGGGGUGGGCAAGUUCUGGUGUCAGCCGCCGCGGUAAUACCAGCACCCCGAGUGGUCGGGACGAUUAUUGGGCCUAAAGCAUCCGUAGCCGGUUUUACAAGUCCUCCGUUAAAUCCAGCUGCUUAACAGAUGGGCUGCGGAGGAUACUAUAAGACUAGGAGGCAGGAGAGGCAAGCGGUACUCAGUGGGUAGGGGUAAAAUCCGUUGAUCCAUUGAAGACCACCAGUGGCGAAGGCGGCUUGCCAGAAUGCGCUCGACGGUGAGGGAUGAAAGCUGGGGGAGCAAACCGGAUUAGAUACCCGGG